GAAUUCAUUUCCUCUCAGCCAAUGGAUUCUAAGAGGCCGAAAAGGAGAAGUGAAAAUUUUGUUUUAGCACUACAUAAGGCUUCUCGUACUUGCAGCCAAAGAGGUCAGAGAUUUGGUCCCAAGACCAACUUAGAGUCAUGUGUGACACUGGGAUUCAGAGGCUAGUUGUGGGCCACAGGGAGGAAGCUGACCCCUGGGCUCACCCAGCCCACCCACUCACCAGCUCUCCUUUCCUUCCUGGGUCCCUUGGGGAGGAGAAGCCAUCCACCUCAUGGAAAGUGCUUUAGAGGCUCCUCUGUGGGUGCCCUACUCUGCACCCUUUGCGGGGACUCUCUGCUUCAGUUCGCAGGACAACCUUAAUAGCUAACUGCAGAGAGGACUGAAUGGUUAAGUAGCUCCUCCAAGGAAGCAGAGCCAAGUAUCAGAGGCCGGUUUCCAUCCAGGGAUUGAGAGAAGAAUCAGGAGCACAUAGGCUGUGGCAGUAAAAAGCAGAUCCCAAAGACAGUAUAGGGCGGCUCGAAAGGGGCCUUCCUACAUAGCCACCACCACGUGCUCCGGCGCUACCUCCAGGGGGCUGGGCGCAGCUGGAGGACACAGUUCGGCAGCUUGCUAGAAGCCUCCAGCUCUUCCUUUUCUGUAUCCUUCAGGUGACUGUGGAAGGCUGGCCGUGCAGCCUGCCAUCAGCCUGGCCUCAGCCGGGGAGGGGGACCUUUCUCCUGGAGGCCACAGAAACACUGAGGACCUCUCAGCUGAGAAGGUCAGAUGGAGGUGCUGGAUGAUUGGAGGAGAUCAAACUGAUGAGGAAAACGCAAAUGGCAUCCUUCAGGAGCAAAAGCUGUCUCCUCUUUUACUUCACAUGUCCACCCAGCAGCUCUAUGAGUUCUGAUUCAGCAUUGCACUUACCACCCACCCUCCCCGCCUUUUACAGAAAAGGAAACUGAGGCUCCGAGGUUGCGGAGUUGCUUGCUCCAGCUGAUGACAAAGGCAGGUAAAGCCAGGGCUAGAGUCCCUUCCCAGCCCUCCAAAUGCCGUUAGCGCCAUGAUCCUACAGCCUCCUCAAAGUCCAGUCAGGCAAACUCUUGCCCUUGUUUCCAUUAAACACAUAUCUUCAUCUUUUUCGUACUUUUAAUAAUAGCAGGAAGUAAAUCUGGCCAUGUAAUGUGAGAAAGGUAAUAGUCCCAGGUCAGGAAAUCCUGUUGCUUGGAGUCUCUUGGGAAUGUUAACUUUCCCACUCUCACCCUACCGGGAUCCUGACCUCCUGCACAGUUGGCUUCCUCAGGCAAAACUGGGCCAGAAAUUCUGGGCCGUUGGCCAGAGUCAGACCUUCGUCCUCUGGUAGCGUCCGCUGGAAAAGAGGAGGCGAGAGUCACCAGGAGGCUGGCCCCACUCGCAGGCCCUGCCCUCUGCCGGUGGGUCCUAUGGAUGACACGAGGCCGCACUGGGCUGGAGAAGAAGAGAAGCUCCUGAGACACGCCCACUCUGCAGAGGGAGGCAACCGCACAGGCUUGGAGUUCACUUGCUCCAGAACAACUUUGCGACUUUUUGGGAGAAUGCCAGCAGUAAUCUCCAUGUGGCCCCGUGGAAAGAACCUGGGCUCUGCCAGGCUUUGGUGCCCUCUCUGCAGCUCUCAGGCUGAGUUUUGGUGAAAUGAUGCUUGUGGAACGCCUAGCAAAGCACCCCCGCUCACAGUGGCCCCACGAAGCAGUAGGUCCCCU
rnacentral:lncRNA from 1 species